CCCAUCCUCCCAUGGGACAGGGAAGGGAAAUGGCUGCAGAGGAUCCCGUCCAGGGUUUCCAAUUUCCAAACCUGAUGUGAUCUUGCAGAUGGAACGAGGGGAACAGCCGUGGGUCCCAGACCUCCAGGGCUCUGAGAAAGAAGUGCUUCCAAGAGCUGCCUGCACAGGUGCGGGGAGUGACCUAUGUCUGGAUUCUCUCUGUCUCCCAUCUGGUGAUGGGCUGGUGAGUGA